rnacentral:rRNA from 1 species
AUUGAACGCUGGCGGCAUGCCUUACACAUGCAAGUCGAACGGCAGCACGGAGCUUGCUCUGGUGGCGAGUGGCGAACGGGUGAGUAAUAUAUCGGAACGUACCCUAGAGUGGGGGAUAACGUAGCGAAAGUUACGCUAAUACCGCAUACGAUCUAAGGAUGAAAGUGGGGGAUCGCAAGACCUCAUGCUCGUGGAGCGGCCGAUAUCUGAUUAGCUAGUUGGUAGGGUAAAAGCCUACCAAGGCAUCGAUCAGUAGCUGGUCUGAGAGGACGACCAGCCACACUGGAACUGAGACACGGUCCAGACUCCUACGGGAGGCAGCAGUGGGGAAUUUUGGACAAUGGGCGAAAGCCUGAUCCAGCAAUGCCGCGUGAGUGAAGAAGGCCUUCGGGUUGUAAAGCUCUUUUGUCAGGGAAGAAACGGUGAGAGCUAAUAUCUCUUGCUAAUGACGGUACCUGAAGAAUAAGCACCGGCUAACUACGUGCCAGCAGCCGCGGUAAUACGUAGGGUGCAAGCGUUAAUCGGAAUUACUAGGCGUNAAGCGUGCGCANGCGGUUUUGUAAGUCUGAUGUGAAAUCCCCGGGCUCACCCUGGGAAUUGCAUUGGAGACUGCAAGGCUAAGAUCUGGCAGAGGGGGUAGAAUUCACGUGUAGCAGUGAAAUGCGUAGAUAUGUGGAGGAACACCGAUGCCGAAGGCAGCCCCCUGGGUCAAGAUUGACGCUCAUGCACGAAAGCGUGGGGAGCAACCAGGAUUAGAUACCCUGGUAGUCCACGCCCUAAACGAUGUCUACUAGUUGUCGGGUCUUAAUUGACUUGGUAACGCAGCUAACGCGUGAAGUAGACCGCCUGGGGAGUACGGUCGCAAGAUUAAAACUCAAAGGAAUUGACGGGGACCCGCACAAGCGGUGGAUGAUGUGGAUUAAUUCGAUGCAACGCGAAAAACCUUACCUACCCUUGACAUGGCUGGAAUCCCCGAGAGAUCAGGGAGUGCUCGAAAGAGAACCAGUACACAGGUGCUGCAUGGCUGUCGUCAGCUCGUGUCGUGAGAUGUUGGGUUAAGUCCCGCAACGAGCGCAACCCUUGUCAUUAGUUGCUACGAAAGGGCACUCUAAUGAGACUGCCGGUGACAAACCGGAGGAAGGUGGGGAUGACGUCAAGUCCUCAUGGCCCUUAUGGGUAGGGCUUCACACGUCAUACAAUGGUACAUACAGAGCGCCGCCAACCCGCGAGGGGGAGCUAAUCGCAGAAAGUGUAUCGUAGUCCGGAUUGUAGUCUGCAACUCGACUGCAUGAAGUUGGAAUCGCUAGUAAUCGCGGAUCAGCAUGUCGCGGUGAAUAAGGUCCCGGGUCU